AUACUUACCUUAAGAUGUCAGAGGAGAUCAAGAAGUCCUUCUGACCAGGCAUCGUUUUUUUCCAAUUUAGAGGGAAGUUAUGCAUUUCCUGCAUUGGAAGUUCUCUGAUCUUUUGGGAUAAGAAAACUUCUUUUUGCUCCAAUUGAUGUAAACUCCCUGGUCACUUGCACAUACUUGCGGAAAAGGUGUCUGCUGACGUUUCGUUCCCCAAUUCCAAUAAGUGGGUUAAUUUCUUUGUUUUUUCUUAAUUGCAAAAGCUUGGAUUUUUAUCUACUUUUGGAGUCCUGUGUUCAUUCUGCCUGGAGAAUUAUGGCACCAGGUAUUAUAACUGGUGCUUGGGGAGCUGGUUACUGUAUGGUAUUCAGAUUCGAGGGCAUUUUGUCCUAAUUGGGAUUCCAGUUUAAGUAAUCAUAGUUGCUUUGAGGAAGCCAAGGUGUUAUGACUGGUUCUUCUUAACAUUGGGUGAUGACUAUUGCUCUUUUGAGUAGUAUGAAAUUAUCUGAAGUGGAGGUUCUGGUAAUAGCAUAAAGAUGCUGAUAGUCCUUAUUACCCAAUAUUCUCAUGGAGGCCACUGAUUCUAGGUUUUCAAUCUAUG
rnacentral:snRNA from 1 species